UUCCCAGUUUUUCUUUUCACUGCUUUUGGUCAUCUGCUUCUUUCUUUCUAUGUUUUUAAUACUCUUGUAGCUUAUUAUCCCGCAUUAAUUAUGAUUUUGACAGAAUGGCGUGACUGACUAGCAUUGUGGAGCUUAUUGCAUUCAAGCAAACAUCAUUAUCAUAUGGCGUUGAGUCUUCAGGGGAUGGAUCAAGUAUUUAUCCUUGAUUAUAAGAAUGAAUUUAGGGAGAUUCUUAGAGAAGCAUGGGGUGUCAGGCUUGUGACAGAUCUUAACAUUGUUUUCAGUGGUCAAGAUGUCAUGCUCGAUCUGGAAAAUCUUGGUUUGUUCUCGAGGAUGAUGUAAGGUGGAAACAUUGCAAAUAUGAAUUUGCCAGAGAGAGAUCGUUGGCUGUACAUCAACAUCUGCCAAAGGUCAAUGGGAUCAUCAAAACCCUCAAGGAAGAGGUUUCUUGGAAGAAGACGGGAAUCAUCCCAGUGAAGAAGGUUUUUUUUCCUCAACAAUCAUCAUCAAUUCCUCUUGCAAAGGAGUCACUCUCAUAAUUUCUUUUGGUACCCUUUUGAGUUCAUUAUGUUUGCCAUUUGCCAGUGUUUCUACGGAGCGAGGACCAAGCUGUUAUCUAGGGGCAUAAUUGUAAGUUAGCUAUAUUAAAUAUUAUUAAAAAAAACUUGU